GAUGAACGCUAGCGGCAGGCCUAACACAUGCAAGUCGAGGGGUAGAAGUUGCUUGCAACUUUGAGACCGGCGCACGGGUGCGUAACGCGUAUGCAAUCUACCUUGUACAGAGGGAUAGCCCAGAGAAAUUUGGAUUAAUACCUCAUAGUAUUAUUGAGUGGCAUCACUUGAUUAUUAAAGUUCCAACGGUACAAGAUGAGCAUGCGUCCUAUUAGCUAGAUGGUAAGGUAACGGCUUACCAUGGCUACGAUAGGUAGGGGUCCUGAGAGGGAGAUCCCCCACACUGGUACUGAGACACGGACCAGACUCCUACGGGAGGCAGCAGUGAGGAAUAUUGGUCAAUGGGCGCAAGCCUGAACCAGCCAUGCCGCGUGCAGGAAGACGGUCCUAUGGAUUGUAAACUGCUUUUGUACGGGAAGAAACACUCCGACGUGUCGGAGCUUGACGGUACCGUAAGAAUAAGGAUCGGCUAACUCCGUGCCAGCAGCCGCGGUAAGAC
rnacentral:rRNA from 1 species